AAUGUCGGAAGGUGCUAGUGACAGAAUGUCAUUGCCUCCGGAUGACUGCAGCCUGAAGGACGUAGAAACUGUUAAGAAUAAUAGGCCACCUCCUCAACUAGAUAUACUGCCGCCCCCACCAAAUAAUAACCCCAAAAAGGCUCCACUGUCGUUAGCGGAAACGUAUUCCUCACCUCAUAGUGACACACUUAAACUGUCAGUGCUGGAAGUGCUACCAGCAGCCUACCACCCGCUGGUACUGCCCUGUCAGCUCACCAUGAGCUACAGCUCAUGAGGGAACAGUUGGAGCAACAAAAUCAACAAACUCAGGCUGCUCUAGCUCAAUUACAAUUGACGAAAGAACAAUUGGUUGCGGAACAGAGUGCAAGACUGGAAGCUCAAGCGAGAACUCAUCAGCUAUUGAUUCAUAAUCGUGAGUUACUGGACCAUAUAGCAGCAUUGGUGGCUCAUCUACAGGGUGAAAAACCAGGCCAACAACAAACACCUCCCCACAUGACGAUGCCGCAGGUAUCU